rnacentral:RNase_P_RNA from 1 species
CGGGCAAACCGCUCCAUCGCGUUUUGAUUUUUUUCAAGAUGAGGAAAGUCCAGGCUGCGCAGGGUGCCAUACUCUAUUAAUACGGAGGCUUUGGGUAAGGAAUUAUUCAUUGACAGAAAGUGCUGCAGAAAUUUAGACUUCCGAUGGUUUGAGCCUAGCUCAGACACAGGUAAAGCUGAAAAGGUGAGGUAAGAGCUCACCAGUACUGGUAGUGAUGCCGGUAGCUAGGUAAACCUUAUGGGCAGAAAGACCGUGUAAACCCCGUCUCGGCUUGACUGAGAAAAAGCUACUCGCUUUUACACCACGGGGAGGGUAGGUCGAUUAGAUAAAUGAUGGAACCAGUUUACUGGAACAGAACUUGGCUUAUAGGUUUGCCCAUUUU